AUGAACGCUGGCGGCGUGCCUAAUUCAUGCAAGUCGAGCGAACGGACGAGAAGCUUGCUUCUCUGAUGUUAGCGGCGGACGGGUGAGUAACACGUGGAUAACCUACCUAUAAGACUGGGAUAACUUCGGGAAACCGGAGCUAAUACCGGAUAAUAUUUUGAACCGCAUGGUUCAAAAGUGAAAGACGGUCUUGCUGUCACUUAUAGAUGGAUCCGCGCUGCAUUAGCUAGUUGGUAAGGUAACGGCUUACCAAGGCAACGAUGCAUAGCCGACCUGAGAGGGUGAUCGGCCACACUGGAACUGAGACACGGUCCAGACUCCUACGGGAGGCAGCAGUAGGGAAUCUUCCGCAAUGGGCGAAAGCCUGACGGAGCAACGCCGCGUGAGUGAUGAAGGUCUUCGGAUCGUAAAACUCUGUUAUUAGGGAAGAACAUAUGUGUAAGUAACUGUGCACAUCUUGACGGUACCUAAUCAGAAAGCCACGGCUAACUACGUG
rnacentral:rRNA from 1 species